ensembl:lncRNA
GAGCUGGGAUCCAACAGUCAAGGUCCAUGCGGGGGUUGCGACAUUGCAUCGCCCUCCAGCAGGACAGUCUGUGAGGCUGUCGGAGAAGCUGCACCUGCAGGUGGACCGAGCCUGGUGCAGGAUGAGGCUCUGGCUGCUGGCGGGUUUAGCGGCUGCGCUCACCCUUGUGGCGGUGGCCGGGGCCGACCUGGGGGACUCAACGGAGGUGGAAGAUGCGGUAGAAGAGAAAGAGCCUGGUGAACCAGCGAGAGCCAGGAGACAAGUGGAGAAACAGCAGCAACCCAGACGCAGACCCAGGCCUAAACCUACCUGGAGACCAGGCGUCCUGAUUCCUCUAAGCGAUGAAACGGUUUGGCUGAAAACCAGGAGGGAGGACAAAAAACCCAGUUCACCACCUUCCCAAGCCUGUCCUGGCUGCUAUUCUCCUCUGAGCAAGCCUGGUGAACCAGUGAGAGCCAAGAGACAAGUGGAGAAACAGCAGCAACCCAGACGCAGACCCAGGCCUAAACCUACCUGGAGACCAGGCGUCCUGAGUCUUCUAAGACCUGCCAAGGUGGAGGUCCAGGAUUCAGAAGUGAGAACCAGGAGGGAAGUUGAGAGAUAUCCGCAGCAGCGACCUAGACCCAGAUCGAAUUCUCCAGGGCACUCACUUUACAACUUUGGCUAUAUGACUCUUCUUUCUUCCUCUUCCAACAUGAGCCUCCAGGGGCCUGCACCACAAGGGCGAGGCAGGAGGGCGGCUGAAGGAACUGAGCCACGCACACUAAAACCCAAGCGACCCAGGCUGCCCUGCUCGGGCUGCUACAGCCCUUUAGUGUCCCCCAAGGACAACCACCAGCAAGAGAGAGUUAAGAGGGAAGGCCAGAAACCACAGCAAGACAGACCCACAAGGAAGCCCACUUGGAGACCCGGCUCUGGGUCCAUCCUAGGCUUGAGUCCCCAUGAGGAAGUCAAAAACAAGCUCCCCGUCCCCAAGCUCCCCUGUCCCGGCUGCCAUGGAUCUGUAGCCACCGGCCAGCAGGGGCGCUCUGCUGAGGGGAUCCUGAGCCCCAGGACCAGGAGAGAAGACGAAAGGCCCACGGUGGCGAAGCGCAAAGCCAAGCAGAGAGCAAGAGACGGACUGUACUGUGCUGGCUGCUAUUCCGGCCUCACGCUGCGGAGCCAGACGCCCCCCUUGAGAGAGGCGGCGGAUGGAGGAUCAAGCAGAGAUUAGCUACUGCACCCACCUGAGGCGGAGUCCUUCCAGGCCUCACCUCCCUUGUGUAGCUAGGCAGCAGCCCAGGCUGGAGCCUGGUAGCCACCCCUCCCCUCCAUGCCCCUGAGAUCAGUCACAUGGAAUCUGGAUCCCAACCCCCCCUUCCCCCUCCAGCCAGUACAAACGCCCCCUGCUUCUCCUGCUGUAGGGCUGGGAUGCAUCCGAGGCCCCUUUCUCUGCAUCCUGCAAACCAACAACCCCACCCGCCCCUGCCUCGUUCCCUGUAACAGCACAGACAAAGGGAGCGUGGCUGCCGGGGGCCCAGAACGGCCUGUCCCAUGGUGCCCUCUGGCCUCCCAAGCCGCUGUGCAGAGGCAGAUAGAUAGAAAUGAAAUGAAAGCUCCGUAGAAAGGGCUGAACUCCCAAGGGUGUACGUGGGUCCAGCUCUGCUGCGCUGAGCGGAACUGCGCCCGUUUAUACGUGCGGGGAACGUGAGCUAAGAGUGCAAAUAAACACAAAUACACUCGCUCUAUGUGACCUGCU